rnacentral:rRNA from 1 species
UACGUAGGGUGCAAGCGUUAAUCGGAAUUACUGGGCGUAAAGCGCACGUAGGCGGCUUGGUAUGUCGGGUGUGAAAUCCCCGGGCUCAACCUGGGAACUGCAUCCGAAACUGCCUUGCUAGAGUAUGGGAGAGGGAAGUGGAAUUUCUGGUGUAGCGGUGAAAUGCGUAGAUAUCGGAAGGAACAUCAGUGGCGAAGGCGACUUCCUGGACCAAUACUGACGCUCAGGUGCGAAAGCGUGGGGAGCAAACAGG